GUGGGGAAUUUUGGACAAUGGGCGCAAGCCUGAUCCAGCAAUGCCGCGUGCAGGAAGAAGGCCUUCGGGUUGUAAACUGCUUUUGUACGGAACGAAACGGUCCGGGUUAAUACCCUGGGCUAAUGACGGUACCGUAAGAAUAAGCACCGGCUAACUACGUGCCAGCAGCCGCGGUAAUACGUAGGGUGCAAGCGUUAAUCGGAAUUACUGGGCGUAAAGCGUGCGCAGGCGGUUUUGUAAGACAGGCGUGAAAUCCCCGGGCUCAACCUGGGAAUUGCGCUUGUGACUGAAAGGCUGGAGUGCGGCAGAGGGGGAUGGAAUUCCGCGUGUAGCAGUGAAAUGCGUAGAUAUGCGGAGGAACACCGAUGGCGAAGGCAAUCCCCUGGGCCUGCACUGACGCUCAUGCACGAAAGCGUGGGGAGCAAACAGGAUUAGAUUCCCUAGUAGUCC
rnacentral:rRNA from 1 species